rnacentral:rRNA from 1 species
UCAAGCUAUAAAGAGCGCAAGGGGAAUGCCUUGGCAUCAGGAGCCGACGAAGGACGUGACAAGCUGCGAUAAGCUUCGGGGAGGAGCAAAUAUCCUGUGAUCCGGAGAUUUCCGAAUGGGGAAACCCACUGGAGCAAUACUCCAGUAACGUGCAUUGAACAAAAUAGGUGUACGUGGGGAACCGCCUGAACUGAAACAUCUAAGUAGGGCGAGGAAAAGACAUCAACCGAGAUUCCGUAAGUAGUGGCGAGCGAACACGGAGAAGGCCAAACCGGAGGAUUUAUUCUCCGGGGUUAGGACUUGCAUCACGAUCAGAAGAAUCUAACAGAACGGCAUGGGAAGGCCGGCCACAGAGGGUGAGAGCCCCGUACGUGAAAGAGGAAGCUGACAGCGAGUAUCCAGAGUACCGUGGGACACGUGAAACCCCGCGGGAAAACGGGUGGACCACCAUCCAAGCCUAAAUACUACCUGAUGACCGAUAGAGGAGCAGUACCGUGAGGGAAAGGUGAAAAGGACCCCGGGAGGGGAGUGAAAGAGAACCUGAAACCUUGUGCUUACAAGCACUCAAAGCACGUUAAAGUGUGAUGAGGUACUUUUUGUAGAACGGUCCGGCGAGUUAUAGUAACGAGCAAGCUUAAGGUAUUCAGUACCGGAGGCGAAGCGAGAGCGAGUCUGAAUAGGGCGCAUAAAGUUCGUUGCCAUAGACCCGAAACCGGGUGACCUAACCAUGAGCAGGCUGAAGUGAGAGUAAAAUCUCAUGGAGGGCCGAACGCACGUUCGUUGCAAUGACCGGCGAUGACUUGUGGUUAGCGGAGAAAUUCCAAUCGAACUCGGAGAUAGCUGGUUCUCCCCGAAAUAGCUUUAGGGCUAGCGUUAUUUUAGAUUACCGGAGGUAAAGCACUGAAUGGUCUAGGGGCCGCGAGGUUACCAAAGCCUAUCAAACUCUGAAUGCCGGAUAAUUGAUGAAUAGCAGUCAGACUGUGUGAGAUAAGUCUCAUAGUCAAAAGGGAAACAGCCCAGAUCUACAGCUAAGGUCCCAAAUGAACACUAAGUGGAAAAUGAUGUGAAACUGCGAAGACAACCAGGAUGUUGGCUUAGAAGCAGCCACUCAUUCAAAGAGUGCGUAAUAGCUCACUGGUCGAGUGGUUUUGCGCAGAAAAUGUAACGGGGCUAAGUGUUCAACCGAAGCUUAGGCAUUGCAGUAAUGCAUUGGGUAGGGGAGCGUCGUAUGCGGGGCGAAGUCAGAGCGGAAGCACUGGUGGACUGCAUACGAGUGAGAAUGCCGGAAUAAGUAGCGAGAAUUAUGUGAGAAUCAUAAUGGCCGAAAAUCUAAGGUUUCCUGGGGAAGGUUCGUCCGCCCAGGGUUAGUCGGGAGCUAAGCUCAGGCCGAAAGGCGUAGGCGAUGCACAUACGGUAGAAAUUCCGUAACCACCGAACUUUAAGCUAGAGGGACGCUUUCUUCAAGGUUAUCCCGGGCGAUGGUUGCCCCGGGCGUAAGGGACCGAAAUUUAGUAGGGAAGUAACUGGCGAGAGAGACGAGAAAAGCUCUAGUGUAUACUAAGGUGCCCGUACCGCAAACCGACACAGGUAGAAGGGAUGAGUAUUCUAAGGCCAACGGGAGAAGGGUUGUUAAGGAACUCGGCAAAUUGGCCCCGUAACUUCGGGAUAAGGGGCGCCUGCGAGAGCAGGCCGCAGUGAAAAGGCCCAAGCGACUGUUUAGCAAAAACACAGCUCUCUGCUAAAUCGAAAGAUGACGUAUAGGGGGUGACGCCUGCCCGGUGCUGGAAGGUUAAGGGGAGUGCUUAGCGCAAGCGAAGGUGCGAACUUAAGCCCCAGUAAACGGCGGCCGUAACUAUAACGGUCCUAAGGUAGCGAAAUUCCUUGUCAGGUAAGUUCUGACCCGCACGAAAGGCGUAACGAUUUGGGCGCUGUCUCAGCUGUAGACUCGGUGAAGUCUUAGUACCUGUGAAGAUGCAGGUUACCCGCGACUAGACGGAAAGACCCCAUGGAGCUUCACUGCAGGUUGAUAUUGGGAUUUGAUGCAGCAUGUACAGGAUAGGUAGGAGGCAAAGAGAUGGAUACGCCAGUAUUCAAGGAGCCGCUGUUGGGAUACUACCCCUGUUGUAUUGGAUUUCUAACCGGACGACGUAGAGCCGUUGACGGGACAGUGUCAGUCGGGCAGUUUGACUGGGGCGGUCGCCUCCCAAAGAGUAACGGAGGCGCCCAAAGAUACCCUCAGCUUGGAUGGAAACCAAGCGCAGAGUGCAAAGGCAAAAGGGUGUUUGACUGCGAGACCUACAAGUCGAGCAGGGACGAAAGUCGGGCUUAGUGAUCCGGCGGUGCUGAAUGGAAAGGCCGUCGCUCAACGGAUAAAAGCUACCCUGGGGAUAACAGGCUGAUCUCCCCCAAGAGUUCACAUCGACGGGGAGGUUUGGCACCUCGAUGUCGGCUCAUCGCAUCCUGGAGCUGAAGUCGGUUCCAAGGGUUGGGCUGUUCGCCCAUUAAAGCGGUACGCGAGCUGGGUUCAGAACGUCGUGAGACAGUUCGGUCCCUAUCUGUCGUGGGCGCAGGAAAUUUGAGAAGAGCUGUCCUCAGUACGAGAGGACCGGGAUGGACGCAUCAAUGGUGGACCAGUUGUCACGCCAGUGGCAUAGCUGGGUAGCUAAAUGCGGAAGGGAUAAACGCUGAAGGCAUCUAAGUGUGAAACCCACUUCAAGAUGAGAUUUCCCAUUGCGCAAGCAAGUAAGACCCCUUAAAGACGAUAAGGUAGAUAGGUCAGGAGUGUAAGCAUGGUGACAUGUUAAGCGGACUGAUACUAAUAGGUCGAGGGCUUGACCGA